UACGUAGGGUGCAAGCGUUAUCCGGAAUUAUUGGGCGUAAAGAGCUCGUAGGCGGUUUGUCGCGUCUGCUGUGAAAACUGGAGGCUCAACCUCCAGCCUGCAGUGGGUACGGGCAGACUAGAGUGCGGUAGGGGAGAUUGGAAUUCCUGGUGUAGCGGUGGAAUGCGCAGAUAUCAGGAGGAACACCGGUGGCGAAGGCGGAUCUCUGGGCCAUUACUGACGCUGAGGAGCGAAAGCGUGGGGAGCGAACAGG
rnacentral:rRNA from 1 species